UCCAGACUCCUACGGGAGGCAGCAGUGGGGAAUAUUGGGCAAUGGAGGCAACUCUUACCCAGCAAUGCCGCGUGAAUGAAGAAGGUCUUCGGAUUGUAAAGUUCUUUAAUUGGGGACGAAAAAAAUGACGGUACCCAAGGAAUAAGCCCCGGCUAACUACGUGCCAGCAGCCGCGGUAAUACGUAGGGGGCAAGCGUUAUCCGGAUUUACUGGGUGUAAAGGGAGCGUAGACGGCAUGGCAAGUCAGAUGUGAAAGCCCGGGGCUCAACCCCGGGACUGCAUUUGAAACUGUCAGGCUGGAGUGCAGGAGAGGUAAGUGGAAUUCCUAGUGUAGCGGUGAAAUGCGUAGAUAUUAGGAGGAACACCAGUGGCGAAGGCGGCUUACUGGACUGUAACUGACGUUGAGGCUCGAAAGCGUGGGGAGCAAACAGGAUUAGAUACCCCCGUAC
rnacentral:rRNA from 1 species